rnacentral:rRNA from 1 species
GACGAACGCUGGCGGCGUGCCUAAUACAUGCAAGUAGAACGCUGAAGGAGGAGCUUGCUUCUCUGGAUGAGUUGCGAACGGGUGAGUAACGCGUAGGUAACCUGCCUGGUAGCGGGGGAUAACUAUUGGAAACGAUAGCUAAUACCGCAUAAUAGCAGUUGUUGCAUGACAACUGUUUGAAAGGUGCAAUUGCACCACUACCAGAUGGACCUGCGUUGUAUUAGCUAGUUGGUGGGGUAACGGCUCACCAAGGCGACGAUACAUAGCCGACCUGAGAGGGUGAUCGGCCACACUGGGACUGAGACACGGCCCAGACUCCUACGGGAGGCAGCAGUAGGGAAUCUUCGGCAAUGGACGGAAGUCUGACCGAGCAACGCCGAGUGAGUGAAGAAGGUUUUCGGAUCGUAAAGCUCUGUUGUAAGAGAAGAACGAGUGUGAGAGUGGAAAGUUCACACUGUGACGGUAUCUUACCAGAAAGGGACGGCUAACUACGUG